UACGUAGGGAGCAAGCGUUGUCCGGAAUCAUUGGGCGUAAAGCGCGCGUAGGCGGCCCGAUAAGUCCGCUGUGAAAGUCAACGGCUCAACUGUUGAAAGCCGGUGGAUACUGUCGGGCUAGAGUACGGAAGAGGCAAGUGGAAUUCCUGGUGUAGCGGUGGAAUGCGCAGAUAUCAGGAGGAACACCCAUAGCGAAGGCAGCUUGCUGGGACGUAACUGACGCUAAGGCGCGAAAGCGUGGGGAGCGAACAGG
rnacentral:rRNA from 1 species